GACGAACGCUGGCGGCGUGCUUAACACAUGCAAGUCGAACGGAAAGGCCCUGCGUUUGUUGGGUUGUCGAUUGGCGAACGCGUGAGUAACACAUGAGUAACCUGCCCUUAUAUUUGGGGGAACAUCAGGAAACAGCGGCUAAUACCGGAUAGGAUCUACUGCUGCGUGGUGGGGGUUGGAAAGUUUCGGCCGUUGUGGAUGGACUAGCGGGUUAUGAGCUUGUUGGUGGGGUAGUGGCUUCCCAAGGCUUUGACGGGUAGCCGGCCUGAGAGCGUGAACGGGCUCCUUGGGACUGCGGGAGGCACCAGACGCGUACGGGAGGCAACAGGGGGGAGUCUUGCGGAAUGGGGGGAAGUCAGAUGCAGCAACGCCGCGUGCGUGAUGCCGGCUUUCGGGUUAAAAACAGAUGUCGCAGGUGCUGAGGACGGAUUGACGGUAAUUGAUCAAGAAGCCCCGGCUAACUACGUG
rnacentral:rRNA from 1 species